rnacentral:rRNA from 1 species
GACGAACGCUGGCGGCGUGCUUAACACAUGCAAGUCGAACGGAAAGGCCCUGCUUUUGUGGGGUGCUCGAGUGGCGAACGGGUGAGUAACACGUGAGUAACCUGCCCUUGACUUUGGGAUAACUUCAGGAAACUGGGGCUAAUACCGGAUAGGAGCUCCUGCUGCAUGGUGGGGGUUGGAAAGUUUCGGCGGUUGGGGAUGGACUCGCGGCUUAUCAGCUUGUUGGUGGGGUAGUGGCUUACCAAGGCUGUGACGGGUAGCCGGCCUGAGAGGGUGACCGGCCACAUUGGGACUGAGAGACGGACCAGACUCCUACGGGAGGCAGCAGUGGGGAAUAUGGCACAAUGGGAGGAAGCCUGAUGCAGCAACGCCGCGUGCGGGAUGACGGCCUUCGGGGUGUAAACCGCUUUCGCCUGUGACGAAGCGUGAGUGACGGUAAUGGGUAAAGAAGCACCGGCUAACUACGUG